AGUGAACGCUGGCGGUAGGCCUAACACAUGCAAGUCGAACGACAGCACAGUAAGAGCUUUCUCUUACGGGUGGCGAGUGGCGGACGGGUGAGGAAUACAUCGGAAUCUACUUUUUCGUGGGGGAUAACGUAGGGAAACUUACGCUAAUACCGCAUACGACCUACGGGUUAAAGCAGGGGAUCUUCGGACCUUUCGCGAUUCAAUUAGCCGAUGUCGGAUUAGCUAGUUGGCGGGGUAAAGGCCCACCAAGGCAACGAUCCGUAGCUGACCUGAGAGGGUGAUCAGCCACACUGGAACUGAGACACGGUCCAGACUCCUACGGGAGGCAGCAGUGGGGAAUCUUCGACAAUGGGCGAAAGCCUGAUGCAGCCACACCGCGUGAGUGAAGAAGGUCUUCGGGUCGUAAAGCUCUUUUGUUGGGAAAGAAAAGAAGCAUAAUAAUCUACCCACGUCUUGACGGUACCCAAAGAAUAAGCCACGGCUAACUUCGUG
rnacentral:rRNA from 1 species